rnacentral:lncRNA from 1 species
GCGGCAUAGAGAGUGUCAAAGACACCGAGUUCAAGGGCAGCUUUGAGAACCAUGGGCAAGGCUGCAGCGUUGGCUAUUCUCACGGCCAUUAAUCCCAACUCAUUAUCAUCAUCGGUAGCAAUUUGGAUUGUGGGGUUAGAGCUUAAGGUUUCUUCAAAAAGGAUUCCCAUUUUUUUCUUUAUGAUCUUUCUUUCACCGUCAGUUACCACACUGAUUAGAAGCAAAUAUAUUGAGAGAGAGAGGCCGAUGUUGUGUGUUUUGUUCUAUGUAGUGUUUGAGUAUGAUGAUGAUUUGAUGGAUCUUUGUUACUUCUUUUUAUAACCAAGGCUUAGCCUCUUCUUACUUAUUUAAUUUCAAUUAAUAGUACUGGUGGUGUGUCGGUCCAUUUGGCUGGCUGAAUAGUCUCUCUAACUAAGAACCAUUCUUAGCGUCUGAAACAGGUAAGAACCAGUCUUUGUUUCAAGUCAGUUGGUUUAUAAAGUCAAUGUUCAAAGGAGAGAUUUACUUAAAUUAAUCACUGUGGUCAACCAAAGAGUAUGUUUUAGGCUUCGAAUGGUAGGUCGUUAAUUGUAGCAAAAAAAUUUACAUGUAUCUUUUUUUUUUGGACAACAAUCUUUACAUGUAUCUUUUUUUCUUGUCAACCCAAUCUUUACAUGUAUCUAUGUAUCUUUUUUUGUUCUUCAAUUUGAUAGACAUAAUCCCCUAUAUAUUAAUUGAGAAGCAUUUAAAAAAUUAGAACUUUAGUUUUGUAUUAAUUAAAAAAAACCUCAAAUCCUAGGUGACACUCUAAAUGCAUUCUAAAUUCUAUUUCAAAGAAUUCUAGAGCAUCUAAUAUAAAGUAUAGUUUAAUCUAAUAGUGUCACAUUAUUCCAUAAUUAUAUAACACUAGAGAACAUUAUAUUAACCUAAAAUAUAGGAAGUGUGUAUUCUUUCCUUAAAUAAAAGCUACAAAAUUACCUAAUAUGAUUUACAUAUAUAUGACAAUUAAUGAUUAUGAAUAAUAUAGAUUUAAUAACAAUUUUUGCAUCCUUCUUCAUUUUUGUUUAAAUUUAUAUUAUUAAAAAAUCAAACAACCACAUUAACUAUAUAAUAAAAAAAUUAGAUUUUUUCUUAUAUGUUAUAUUUUGAAUUUUUUAAAACGACUUUAAAAUACAAAAAUAAAGACAUCUUAUAUGUUAUAUUUUUCUUAUAUGUUAGAAUUUUUUUAUAUGUUAUAUUUUGAAUUUUUUAAAAACGACUUUAAAUUACAAAAAUGUAAGUUUUCCUUAAGUAUACGACUAAAAACAUUAAAAUGACAUGUAUCAAUUCGAUGUUUGAUUUGAACCAUAUGGAUGAUAAAAGUCAAAAUAAUUUAACUGUGGAAACAAUACUAUUCACUUUUUUCAAGAAUGUAUUCGAUGGAAAAAAUAAGGUUUGUAUGUCAUAAUUUGUUUAAUGUCCACUAGAGAACAUUAUAUUAACCUAAAAUAUAAGAAGUGUGUAUUCUUUUCAUAAAUAAAAGCUACAGAAUUACCUAAUAUGAUUUACAUAUAUAUAUAUGAUAAUUAAUGAUUAUGAAUAAUAAAUAUUUGAUCACAAUUUUUGCAUCCUUCUUUAUUUUUGUUUAAUUUUAUAUUAUUAAAAAAAUAAACAAUCACAUGAACCAUAUAAUAAAAAAAUAGAUUUUUUCUUAUAUGUUAUAUUUUGAAUUUUUUAAAAUGACUUUAAAUUACAAAAAUGAGGAAACCUUAUAUGUUAUAUUUUUUUUUUUUAAAUGACUUUAAAAUACAAAAAUGAGGACACAUUAUAUGUUACAUUUUUCUUAUAUGUUAGAUUUUUUCAUAUAUGUUAUAUUUUGAAUUUUUUAAAACGACUUUAAAUUACAAAAAUGUAAGUUUUCCUUAAGUAUACGACUAAAAAAUUAAAAUAGCAUGUAUAAGUUCGAUGGUUGAUUUGAAAGCUUUCAAAACCAUAUGUAAGAUAAAAGUCAAAAUAAUUUAACUGUGAAAACAAUACUGUUCACUUUUUUAAGAAUGUGUUCGAGGGAAAAAAAUAAAGUUUUUAUGUCAUAAUUUGUUUAAUGUCCCCUUGAGAACAUUAUAUUAAUCUAAAAUAUAAGAAGUGUGUAUUAUUUUCCUAAAUAAAAGCUACAAAAUUACCUAAUAUGAUUUACAUAUAUAUGACAAUUAAUGAUUACGAAUAAUAAAGAUUUGAUAACAACUUUUGCAUCCUUAUUCAUUUUGUUUAAUUUUAUAUUAUUAAAAAAAAUAAACAAUCACAUUAACCAUAUAAUAAAAAAAUUGAAUUUUUUCUUAUAUGUUAUAUUUUGAAUUUUUUAAAAUGACUUUAAAUUACAAAAAUGAGGAAACCUUAUAUGUUAUAUUUUUUUUUUUAAAACGACUUUAAAAUACAAAAAUGAGGACACCUUAUAUGUUAUAUUUUUCUUAUAUGUUAGAUUUUUUCUUAUAUGUUAUAUUUUGAAUUUUUUUAAAACGACUUUAAAUUACAAAAAUGUAAGUUUUCCUUAAGUAUACGACUAAAAACAUUAAAAUGACAUGUAUCAAUUCGAUGGUUGAUUUGAAAGCUUUCAAAACCAUAUGGAAGAUAAAAGUCAAAAUAAUUCAACUGUGAAAACAAUACUGUUCACUUUUUUCAAGAAUGUGUUCGAUGGAAAAAAUAAGGUUUUUAUGUCAUAAUUUGUUUAAUGUCCAAUCCGAUCAACCCAUGAUGUAUUAAUUAUAGUUUUGUUCCAUUAUUUUUAAUAAAAAUUGAUCCGAUCCAUCGGAAAAAAAUUAUAUAAUAACAACAAAAAAUAUUUUUUAUAUAUAAAUAAAAUGAUCAAAUAUAUAAAAGAAACUAUCGAUAAUAUAUAAAAAUAAAUUUACCCUGCGCAAGAUGCAUGUCUUAUCCUAGUAUUAUAAUAUACUCGAGAAUACGCAAGCUGCCACUUGAUUAGAACGAUUGCGACAUAGGAAGGCAAUAUAAAUAUUGAUUAUUCAGUUUGUGAGUGUAACAUUACGUUGACCUUUAUGGCCUCCAUCAUGAGUUGUCCUUCCAGGAAGGUCACAAGAAUUUGGAUUGUCAAGCUUCAUUAACUAUAUUAUCUAGGACUCAAUGAUCAGAACAUAAUAGGAUUAGUUACACCAAUUAAUCAUAAGAUACUAGAGUUUUUUUUUCUUCUAAAAGCAGCCUUAUUAAAUUACAAUGGUUCAGUACCAGUGCCAGUCGCAUCCCUGGUCCGGUUUAUUGACCGCGUCAAGAACAAUUGUCUGUCUAUCUCAGCAAUGGGGAGUCAAAAAGCAUCGAGCUCUUUUGCAGCGAUGGUUUGCUUCACAGGCAUAAAUUUCAAAAAAAAUUGUCGGGUGUAAGGUUAUCUUUUAGUUAGAAGGUUCAGUUAAACAAAAUCAAGUUACACAUGAUGUACCAAAGCUUUUUUUUUGAAUAAAUUUAACAUAUUACUCAAAAAUAAAUAAAUUACAAAGGUGUUAACGUUACGUGUGCGACCGAAACUGCCUUUAUUUUCGCAUGGUUAUAUAUGGUGGUGGUAAGGGAGGCAAUGAGUUGCAUUUUUUUUUUGCAAAAAGAUAAUAAUUCAAAUAAAUGACAUCACACCAAAACAAACUUUAAUUUUUAUUUUCCUCCAAAACCACAUGCGAGCAUGGUAUUUAGUUAGUGGUUUUGUUUCAUAUUUAAACAUAUGAUUUAAUAUACUUAAUUUUUAAUUAUCUUAAUUAAUUUCAACUUAUAUAACUCAACCUUAUCAACUAACUUAAAGACAUGAUACACAUCCUAAAUUAUUUCGUUAUGAACAUAAGAAGAUUCAUGCUACGAACAUAGAAGCCAAAAUAAUAAAAUGAUAAGUAUGGAGGAAACAUAACUGUUUUGCAGAUUUAUUCAUUAGCGAACGAAUAGAGUUAUUUAUACUAACUGUAUAAUUAUCUAAAUAGUUUUUAGAAUAAAAAUCUAAUUUACACACAAAUAUUAAUUUUCCUAAUAAUUACAAUGAAAUAUAUUCCACGUGAUUUCAUAAUUUCGAGAUCUCUUAACUAUAUUGUGUAUGUGGUGCAUAAUAAAACGUUCGGUUCAUAAAUAUAGAUUGUAUGAGAAUUGUAUAUGCUCUUUUUCUUUGGUACAACCUUUGUUUCCAAAGAGAUUGUUCUUGAAAUUGGCUAACAAUGAUUAACUUAAAUAUAUCUUUGGUCAGAUAUUUUUUUUUUGAUAACAUUCUAUGAUUAUGAACAAGCUUUAGAUUCUUCAACCAUUUUCAAUAAUAGAAAAUUUCCAGGAUUUAGAGCAACUCCAAUGGUAAGAACCCAUUAAGGGUUCUAAUGACUAAUUUAAUAGUUAAUUGUGUGAUUUGAAAAGUUUAGAACCCUUGUUAGUGUAAUUUAUUUUUUCAUGGUCCAAUGGGAUCAGAACUUCUCAGAGGUUCUUAAAUUUUUUUUUUUUUUUAGAAGUUCAAUGAUUGCAUUUCAUAACAUAAAAAUUUAAAUAAAAAUGACAUAAAAACAUAUUAAAAGAUACAAAUACAAAUCAUAAACGAGAAAAAACUGAUUAGUUGUCAUCCCAAGUGUCUUCUUAUGUCACAUGAAAGACUUGUAUUUGUGUCACAUGGAAGACUAGUAACCAAAUAAAGAAAGGUGUUGUGUUAUAACGAGGAUUUGGAAAAAAAACAUGGCAAUUUGAAAAAAAGGAUCAAGCAUCUUCAAUUUGAAAAAAAGGACCAAGUUAAGAUAUACAAUACUCAUAUAAUGCAAUCACAGUACUGAUCUAAACUUAAUACAGUUGUGUCUACUCCCAUGUCUUCUUGUGUCACAUGUUAACCGUAUGGUUUAUGUAUUCUAAAAUAUCAUUCAGCUUAUGUUCCUGUCACCACUGCAGCUUUAGUCCGGUUCAUUGAUCUUCAAGUCAGCCUUAGCUCCAGAGAUGUCUUCUUGUCUAACUAAGAAGCCGUCCUCAUGCGCUUGUUGAGCAUCAGGCCUGAAGAAGUUCCCUUCCAUGGGAGGUAAAAUCCUGUUCAAGGAGGUCUGAGGAAAUCACAUAACUUUACAAGGAUCAAUUGGUUAUAAACCAUAAUCAAUAUCAAAACCACGUCUUUGGUCAGUGCAGAGCUCACUAACAUGCAUAUAAAACUCAUGAAAAAGAAGCUAGUUCUAUAGUUAUUGCAAAUACAGUACACAUGAUCAACAGUUUAUAAUGUGAAAUGCAACAUUAGAUGUACUAAAAAGCAUCCCAAAUAUUUGACGUUAUGAGGAUACAAAGCCUGUUCUGUAUCAUGUUAUUUGGGGUUCAUCACCUAAGCUAGAUCAGAGGAGAAGCAACAGAAAGAAACAAAAUGAAAAAAGAGAACAGAAAAUGAUCAGACACAAUACACACAAAAAAAAAAUGAUCAGAGACAACAACACAUUUGCAUUGAACAGAGAAGCUAUGAUGCAUUUAACAGGCUCUCCUCAAGAAGACUCUCAUGCCAGCACACAAAAGGUGCAAACUAGCUUGCCUAAGUAUAUAUAGUCAAUACCUCAUUUACAAAGAUAGCUUCUUCAUAAUGAAAGUAUUCUCAACAUAAUCACAUGAACAAGCCUUGUGAAACCUACGUUAAAAGAUCAAUCAUAAAUAAAAAUUGAAACUUUAAAGUUUACAAUUGUGAUCAAACUCAAGUAAGUACCAAAACUCGAUCCUAGAACAUUAGCUCGAACCAGGAUCCAAUCAGAUUAUAAUCGUUAUCAGCGGAGAUCUUGCUAAAUAUUACAUCAAUCGGAGACACAAUUUGAUAGGAAUCGUCGGAUCAAGUUUUCCAUUGACCUGAAAAUCAAGUCUUAGAAGUCGAGCUUGAGCUCAUCCUUGGAAUCGGAGAAAUACGAGAGGACGUACGGAACAUCGCGGACAACCACAACCCAUAAAACAUGGCUGCUGUUUCUUCUUUUUCUUCCUCUCUCUCUCUCUUCAGAAAACAAAGCUUUUCUAAAAAUAAAAGAAUCCGACCCUUCAUGGUGAUUGCAUGGACGGAUUUGGAGGAGAAUAUCGACGAUGAAAGAAUCAGAUCAAACAUCAUCUCCUUUGGAGAUUUCGACAACAUCGACGACAGGAUUUGAUAAUGACGAAGAAGUGAGAUUAACGAAGAAAGAGAAGAGACAAAUUUUUUUUCCCUUUCGUGUGAAAGCAACGACCCAAUACACAUGUGCCACAUUUGGGGUUUCAACCGAUUCUAUAUCCCCUUAAUUAAGAAGCGGUUCUGUCUAAUUUUAUCAUUUUUGAUUUUUUUUUUCCCUUUUUUUCUUAAGAACCUCACCCUAAACCCACCAUUGGAGGUGGUCUUAGUGUUUUGUCAUUUUAUAGGUUCAUUAAGCUUAGAUUCUUCUCUUUUUAAUUUAUUAAUUUUUAUUCUGUAAUAUUCAAUUUAAGUAUAUCACUGGCUCGUGGGUCCAGCUCGGUGGCUGAAUAGUAUAUGUGGAGAAAAACUAGCUUUGCAUUGCUUUUGAGGACGAUGAUUGUUUAUACAUUUGUAAGAGUAAAAGGUGGGUAAAUCUGAAUUCAGUUAAUUAGAACUAGUUCCUAGAGAGUAGAGAGACAAUGAUAAAUUAAAUAUUUUUAUUGCUUGAAGCUGUAUUGCAUCAAAAGACGAAUUGAGACAUUACAUGGGAUUAAUCAUUAAUUUAAACAUUUUAUUUACAGAACUCAAUAACCCAGCAGUGGUAAGCUUGGCAAACGAAUUUGCAAUGGGUGAAGCCAGAUUCUGCGGCUAACGCUUCAAACUCAGCUCGAGACCUCUCUUUUCCACCGGAACAUUGUGUGAACAUCAACAUAUCCAUAUCAAAAGCAAUGUUCGAGUUGAUAUCUCCACUCUCAGCACUAUCAGGAGUGACUAGCUCUAUGACAACUACUUUACCAUUUUCAGGAAGUGAUUUCCAGCAUUUUUUAAGAAUCUUCACGCAGUCCUCGUCAGUCCAAUCAUGAAGUAUACGCUGUAAUUCAAAAACAAUCAAAAGAAAUAAGUACAAAGUACUACAUACAUACGUACUUGAAUAUGUGUUAUGAUAAGAGAGUUACUAAACAUACUUUCAAGAUCAUGGCGUCUCCGGUUGGAACAUCCACAAACAUAUCUCCGGCGAUAUGUUCCACCCCAGGGUAUGAAGGUGCUUGUGCCAAGGCACAUGUCAGAUCAAAAUUAAUACCUUUAAUAUUGGGGUACUUGGAAGUAACAACACCAAGAGUGUUACCAACUCCUCCUCCCACAUCAACUAAAACAUUUACACCGUUGAAGCCUUGGUAAACUUCAAGAGCCUUCUUUACGACAGCGAUGGUAAAUCCGGUCUGGUUAAAGAGCUUGCUGAAUCUCUCAUCUGUUCCCAUAUAGUCGAAGAGUUUCAUGCCACCAUGUGCACGGCCAAAUGCAUCUCCUCCUUCUAGCACCACAUCUUUCAAUUGGGCCCUGAGAAAAAUGCGUAUCAAUAAGGGUAAGAUUUAUUAUAUUUAAACUGAAUGUUGUAAUAACUUUCAAUCUAUGAAUAAAAAAUUACCAGGUAUUAAGGAAGACGCUGUCAAAAUUGACAAUGACUUGGGAAGCAAGGGAUCCAAUGUCUUGAAUGUUAUCUUUCAAGAAGAACCUACAAAUUGGCUCGGCUCUGUAGACCCUCUCGCCUUUUCCAGCUUGGUCUGUACCGCACUUGACCAUGGAAUAGCUAGCGAGUAGACGAAGCAUUCGGUCCAACAAAGCUGGCGCCUCCGGGUUACGUGGUGCAGUUGGUAGCCUACUUGCUAUCUCAGAUGGUGAGAGGAACACAGAGGCGGCAUAGAGAGUGUCAAAGACACCGAGUUCAAGGGUAGCUUUGAGAACCAUGGGAAAGGCUGCAGCGUUGGCUAUUCUUACGGCCAUUAAUCCCAACUCAUUAUCAUCAUCGGUAGCAAUUUGGAUUGUGGGGUUAGAGCUUAAGGUUUCUUCAAAAAGGAUUCCCAUUUUUUUUCUUUAUGAUCUUUCUUUCUUCUCCUUCAAGGUACCUUGGUGAUUACACUGAUCAGAAGCAAGGGAACAGAGAGAUAGAGAGUGUGUGUAUUUGUUUCUUAUGUGUAG